rnacentral:rRNA from 1 species
AUGGCCAGGCUGUCUCCACCCGAGACUCAGUGAAAUUGAACUCGCUGUGAAGAUGCAGUGUACCCGCGGCAAGACGGAAAGACCCCGUGAACCUUUACUAUAGCUUGACACUGAACAUUGAGCCUUGAUGUGUAGGAUAGGUGGGAGGCUUUGAAGCGUGGACGCCAGUCUGCGUGGAGCCGACCUUGAAAUACCACCCUUUAAUGUUUGAUGUUCUAACGUGGAUCCGUAAUCCGGGUUGCGGACAGUGUCUGGUGGGUAGUUUGACUGGGGCGGUCUCCUCCUAAAGAGUAACGGAGGAGCACGAAGGUUGGCUAAUCCUGGUCGGACAUCAGGAGGUUAGUGCAAUGGCAUAAGCCAGCUUGACUGCGAGCGUGACGGCGCGAGCAGGUGCGAAAGCAGGUCAUAGUGAUCCGGUGGUUCUGAAUGGAAGGGCCAUCGCUCAACGGAUAAAAGGUACUCCGGGGAUAACAGGCUGAUACCGCCCAAGAGUUCAUAUCGACGGCGGUGUUUGGCACCUCGAUGUCGGCUCAUCACAUCCUGGGGCUGAAGUAGGUCCCAAGGGUAUGGCUGUUCGCCAUUUAAAGUGGUACGCGAGCUGGGUUUAGAACGUCGUGAGACAGUUCGGUCCCUAUCUGCCGUGGGCGCUGGAGAACUGAGGGGGGCUGCUCCUAGUACGAGAGGACCGGAGUGGACGCAUCACUGGUGUUCGGGUUGUCAUGCCAAUGGCACUGCCCGGUAGCUAAAUGCGGAAGAGAUAAGUGCUGAAAGCAUCUAAGCACGAAACUUGCCCCGAGAUGAGUUCUCCCUGAGACUUUAAGUCUCCUGAAGGAACGUUGAAGACGACGACGUUGAUAGGCCGGGUGUGUAAGCGCAGCGAUGCGUUGAGCUAACCGGUACUAAUGAACCGUGAGGCUUAACCUUACAACGCCGAAG